UGGCCUUUUUUCCCCGACAUCUCAGUGUGGAUGCAGUGGUCCGCACUACUCUCUGAACUUUGCCAUGCCACCCAAAGACGACAAGAAGAGGAAAGAUGCCGGAAAGUCGGCCAAAAAAAGACAAAAACCCAGUAAAUAAAUCUGGUGGCAAGGCCAAAAAGAAGAAGUGGUCCAAAGGCAAAGUUCGGGACAAGCUGAACAAUCUCGUCCUGUUUGACAAAGCUACUUACGACAAACUUUGUAAGGUAGUUCCCAACUAUAAGCUUAUUACUCCAGCUGUGGUCUCCGAGAGACUGAAGAUUCGAGGUUCCUUGGCCAGGGCAGCCCUUCAGGAGCUACUUAGUAAAGGACUUAUCAAGCUGGUUUCAAAGCACAGAGCCCAAGUAAUUUAUACCAGAAACAAAGGGUGGAGAUGCCCCAGCUGCUGGUGAAGAUGCAUGGACAGAUUCAAUCAGCUGCACAUUUGGGAAAAUUAAACUUUAUUG
rnacentral:lncRNA from 1 species